UUGGAGGGCAAGUCUGGUGCCAGCAGCCGCGGUAAUUCCAGCUCCAAUAGCGUAUAUUAAAGUUGUUGCAGUUAAAAAGCUCGUAGUUGAACUUCGGGGUUUACUCAUUGGUCAGGCUUAAUUGUCUGUACUGGUGAGAUAAAUCUCUACCUUCUGAGGAACUUUUAUGUCAUUAAUUUGAUGUGAUUGGAAAUCAGGACUAUUACUUUGAAAAAAUUAGAGUGUUUAAAGCAGGCUAACGUCUGAAUACAUUAGCAUGGAAUAAUGAAAUAGGACGGAUUGAUUCUAUUUCGUUGGUUUCUAGGACCACCGUAAUGAUUAAUAGGGAUAGUUGGGGGCAUUAGUAUUCAAUUGUCAGAGGUGAAAUUCUUGGAUUUAUUGAAGACUAACUACUGCGAAGGCAUUUGCCAAGGAUGUUUUCAUUAAUCAAGAACGAAAGUUAGGGGAUCGAAGACGAUCAGAUACCGUCGUAGUCUUAACCAUAAACUAUGCCGACUAGGGAUCGGACGAAGUUAAUUUUAUAAUGACGCG
rnacentral:rRNA from 1 species